GCAUGCAAGUCGAACGAAAGCCCUUCGGGGUGAAAGUGGCGAAAGGGCGAGGAACGCGAUCGAACGUACCCCGAGGUGGGGGAUAGCGUCUGGAAACGGGCGGUAAUACCCCAUGUGCUCGCAAGAGGAAAGCUCCGGCGCCUCGGGAGCGGCGAUCGUCCUAUCAGGUUGUUGGUGAGGUAAAGGCCUACCAAGCCUAAGACGGGUAGCGGGUGUGAGAGCAUGACCCGCCGCAUCGGGACUGAGACACUGCCCGGACUCCUACGGGAGGCUGCAGUAACGAAUAUUCCGCAAUGGGCGAAAGCCUGACGGAGCAAUGCCGCGUGUAGGAUGAAGCGCCUUCGGUGUGUAAACUACUGUCAGAAUCUCGGAACACUGACCAGAUUCAAAGGAAGGACCGGCUAAUUCCGUGCCAGCAGCCGCGGUAAUACGGAAGGUCCAAGCGUUAAUCGGAAUUACUGGGCUUAAAGCGUGCGCAGGCGGACUAGUAAGCGUCUUGUGAAAUCCCUCGGCUCAACCGGGGAACUGCAGGGCGAACUACUAGUCUUGAGUCAGGUAGGGGCCGACAGAACUAUCGGUGGAGCGGUGAAAUGCGUAGAUAUCGAUGGGAAUGCCAGUGGCGAAGGCGGUCGGCUGGGCCUGUACUGACGCUCAUGCACGAAAGCGUGGGGAGCGAACGGGAUUAGAUACCCCGGUAGUCCACGCCGUAAACGAUGCGCACUAGAUCGCGGUGGCUCUCACGCCUUCGCGGUCGAAGUAAAAACGAUAAGUGCGCCGCCUGGGGAGUACGGUCGCAAGGCUAAAACUCAAAGGAAUUGACGGGGGCUCACACAAGCGGUGGAGCAUGUGGCUUAAUUCGAAGCAACGCGAAGAACCUUAUCCUGGGCUUGACAUGUACGGAUUAGUCUAUCGAAACUCGAGCCACGACCUCGGGUGGAACAUGCACAGGUGCUGCAUGGCCGUCGUCAGCUCGUGCUGUGAAGUGUCGGGUUAAGUCCCUUAACGAGCGCAACCCCUGUCGUUAGUUGCUAACAAGUUAUGUUGAGUACUCUAGCGAGACUGCCGGUGUCAAACCGGAGGAAGGUGGGGAUGACGUCAGGUCCUCAUGGCCCUUAUGCCUAGGGCUGCAAACGUGCUACAAUGGCACGGACAGAGCGAGGCGAUCCCGCGAGGGGGAGCAAAUCGCAAAAACCGUGCCCCAGUUCGGAUAGCAGGCUGCAAUUCGCCUGCUUGAAGUUGGAAUCGCUAGUAAUCGCGGAUCAGCUACGCCGCGGUGAAUGUGUUGCCUGACGCCUUGUCCUCUCCGCCCGUCAAGUCAUGGAAGCCGGGAGUGCCCG
rnacentral:rRNA from 1 species